ACACCGAGCGGGAUCAGGUGGCGGUGGGUCGCUCCGCGUCAAUCUGGCGGGGUUUGGCCGCCCAGCAAGCUUGUGUUGCUCACAGUCGGGAGUUGCGACUUGCUCCUCAGAGAUCUUAGAAUGGCCCGCCAGGCCCAGACAGAGUGCUGCUGUUGUCACUGUCAGACGGGAGGUGGCCCACCCGGGGGUCGUGCGACAGGCGCCCCUCCCGCUGCCGCCCUUCCAGGCUUGCCCGGGUAUACUGGCCUCCGGGCUAGUCCAGCCUUCGAGCCUACGGAGUCCCGUCCCACCCAGCUCUGACACCGGACAGAGCCCCGGCCUCGGAGCGGGCGGGGAAGCCGCUGGUGCCUUCGUCCCUCCCGAGCCCCAUGGGCCCCUCUUGCUCAGUGUCUAGGGUCAUUUUUUAUAAUACGGGACGCUUAGAAGCAAACCCUAAUGUCACUAGAGCAGAGAACACCCGUGGCCCUGGCUCUCGGUUGCCCUUGUCACCACAGGAUGUUUGCACAGACUGCACUUUGAGUCUGACACACCCUCGUACGUCGCGGUCUCGUGCGGAAGCCCCCGGCACGGCCUGACUUCCUGUCAUUCUCUUGCUACAGUAUUUCUUCCCCGAAGCGCCCCUCUUUCCUGACUCCUCGGCUGUGUGCGCCACCUGACCCCUGGCGCCGCAUUGGUCACAGCAUGUUUUCACCACGUCAGAAUGUAAAAGCGCCUGCCAUGUGCCGCAUCGACCUUCACAGCAACCCUGGCCCCUGGGGUCGCCAUCUCACUGCGCCCACUGACAGAGGAGACGGCUCAGACCUCGGGCUCCUUGGUGCUCACGCUCUCGGGCCACCACAGGCGUGCCCUGCUGGCAGACCGUGGCCACAUGUGCGUCCACAGCAGACAGGUCAACUAUACUCACUUGCUUCCUUGUGACUACUCCGGGACACAGGAUCCGCUGCUGCGGUAAGCUGCCCGCAAAGCAGCGAGGCCGUGGCCGUUUCUGCUGAAUGACUGCACGUUAACGCUUCACGUUUGCUUCAGAGUUUCCAUCUUGCAGUCGUUGGGGGUUGACAGCAAAGUCGCAAAGGCAGCCCAGUGCGUCGCGGUCUCCCCUUUACCAGCACGCCUCACGGAAACAUGGUGCCCCGCAGAGACGUUAGCUGGGUGCGUUCCCACCAGCCACCCCCAGACUGUACUCCAGGCUCGUCAGCUCUCCACGGAUGGCCUUUUCUGUCCCCGGGUCCAACCCAGGCCCCCAUGUGGCGUUCAGUCAUCACGUCUCCCUACUUUCUCAGCCUAGUCUUGUUUUUCGUGACUUUAUUUGGGGGACGCUGUGUGACCUGUCCACUAACCUGGCCUGUUUUCUCAGGAAUAGACUGGGGUCAUGGGUUUUGGGGUAGACCAGACCAUGGUGAGGUGCCCGUUUUGUUCCCUCCCAUCUGGGGUCCCACACAUGUACACAACAUCGCCCCGAGGUUGACCUUGACCUUGAGUGAGACGGGGUCUGCAGGGUGUCCCCGCACCUGGUUUCUGUCCUUCCCUUUCCCUUCCCUGUUCUCUGGAAGUGAGUUGCUGAGUCUCACCCACGCAAAAAGGGGUUUAUUUAGAAAAUAAUUUUCCAUCUAGAGAAGUAUAAAAAAGGACACAUGGCCCAUAAUCGCACUACCUAGAUACCUGUUGACAUUUAAAGAAAAUGAGAGUAAAAAUACACAUGGGUAAAAAAAAGGCUUGUACAAAAAGUACUAUUAAAACCGUCAGAAACUAAAGGCUUCACUGUCUUAAAAGAUCUGGCCCUUCCAGCGUGUCCGCGCACACACCCCCCGGAGCCCUGACGCUGACCUUCCCUGUGGGCACAUGGGCCCUGGGGUGCACCUCCACCUCUAUACCUGGCUGCAUCUGCUCCCCACCUCGGCUUCCCUGGGCCCUGUGGCCAGGUGACAGCCCCUCCUGAGCUCCCUGGUGGCGCUGCUGGUGAAGGUAGAGACAGGCCCCCAUUUGUAAGUGAGGAAAUGGGGGUCUGGAGAAAGGACAGAUGUGGGGUGGGUGCCCAGGCGGCCCAAGCCCGGCCACCUGCACCUAUGCUUUCCCCAGACCUGUGCCGCCUCGGCUCUUCCCAGGCAGGCCGCUCAGUCCCCUCCUGGCCUGUUAAAUGGGGGUGACAACUCCUGAAGGGCUGCCGUGAGAAUAGAGUGACUAGGCACAGGGUCGAGCUGAGCAUGGGGUCAGGGAGGGGCGCUGGGGUCGUCGGGUUCUGAGGGUUCUGUUUGUGGUCGCCCAGGCGUCCCUGGGGCCUGGGUGUGGAUGUGGCUGCCGCAUCGGGGCUCCUGCCUGCAGAAUGGCCAGCUCGCCGUGCACAGAGACCCCGAUUAUUGCCGGGAGUGGUGCACACCUGAAGCCCCGAGAGAAUGUCUCGUCCAGGGCGACUGGUCCUGCCCCGCACAGCCAGGAUGGCAGCCCAACCCCUGCUUUGCCAGAGCUCACGCUCCUGCCUGUGGGAACAGGGCGCCUACUGGGGGCUUGUGUGCUUCAGGCCCCUGGGGGAGAGGCUACUUCCUCCACCAGCAGGUCUGUGCCCACUGCCCUCUGCCACUCCCCGCCUCCCCCUAGACUGUGAGCCCCUCGCGGGCGGCGGCCAUUGGGGGCUUGCUCUGGCCCAUCCCACAGGGGUGGGCGGAGUGCAGGGUCUUUGCCGGCGAGCCUUGGGGUCAGCCGGCCCACAAGAUGCUUCCUGCCUCUCCUGGAUGUGGAUGUGGACAGGCUGGGCUAUGGGGGCUGGGCAGCACCUGAGGGCUGCUGAGGUGGGCGGUGGGGGCCGCCCAGGUAAUCCACCUCCUAGAGGAAGCCCAGGCCAGGCCGGCAAGAAUGCUGACAGCCAGCGCUCGGAGUGCCCACGUGGACGGUGGCAGUCCCAAAUGUGUCUCUGAGCCCGGGAGCCAGGGAGUGGGCUCCUGUGUCAAAGGGAGCCUGAAGUCAACACUUCGUGCCCCUCCCUCCGUCGGGCCGCCAGAGGGGGCUGGCUCAAGCUGGCCUUAACAAGAACAGUAGGGUCUAGUGGAGGAGGCGGGUAUCCAGGGGACAGUGGCUAGCCUGGGGGCAGAGGAGCAGAGCCAGGUCAGGUCAGUUGGGGGUUGCAGGUGAAGAGAGUAAGGAUACAGCCUCGGAUAGGGCCGGGAACAGGGUCCCAGCCUCUGUCCAUAUGCGACUCAGAGGGAAUCACCAAGCAAGCAGGCACUGGAAACUGGAACCCAGGCAAGGGGGCCGUCAGAUCCAGGCAGGUCCGCCCCCUGGAGGCCGCUGGGGCCACUGUACGGCCUCUACCGCCAGCAUCGGAAGGGGCGGGGGCGUGGUCGCAACGGAGGGGGCCAUGUUGUUGCCCACUUCCGAGCAACCGCCACUUUUGGCCUGCGUGUUUGGCGAGCUCGGCCAUCUACAUCCCCGGCGUCCUUGCCGUUAUUAAACAACUUGGCCUGGAUGCGUUCGAGGGUUUGGAAUGACCCCACUUUUAUCGUCCAAGCCUUAAGGAUCCCUGCCCAGCGCCGGGAAGCGAUGUCACUGACCCACGUGUCCUAGCAGGGCCGGGACGCUCUGCCGCGCCAAAACGCCCGGAGCCCAGCCCUUUGCGACCCCGUGGGUUCCUCUUCGUGAUCCCCCUGCUAUGGCCCUCCCCGAGCGGACAUCGGUCCUCCCCAAACCUAGUGAGGCGCACACGAGUGACUCCCGAAUGGGCCGCAAAAAGAGGAACGAACGCAGCUCGUUAGACCCGGGAGGCGGGGCGCCUCACCGCGCCCGCUGCCUAGGCAGGGGAGGCCCCGCGGGGCUCUGGGAGCGGUGGAGGGGACUCCCGUGGAAGGGAUCGAAGGGAUGCAGAUGCGCACGGUCAAGCAGGGCCCUAGGCCGGGGAGAAGAGGGGGAAGGGUCGCGCACGUGGCCGGGGGGCGGAGUUGGCCGCCUCCGCACCCCCACCCGGCCACGUGGGGUGCUGCGCCCUCCCUCAUCGCUAGCGGGGGCGCGCCGGGGCCCGGGUGGAAGAGUCCGGGAAAGAGGCGGGCUCUCGAUGGCCGCGCGCCCCGGCUUGGGGUGGGCACGCGCGGAGAAGGGAGGGGUGCGCCGGGAGGGGCGGGGUCAUCCGGAGAGGGAGGGGCGUGACGAGAGGGGCGGGGCGCGCUCCGGAGAAGGAGGGCCGUUCCGGAGGGGGCGGAGCUCCCCAGCACGGGGAGGGGGCGCUCUGGGAAGGGGCCUUGGGGCAGCGCCGCAGAAGGUGCGCGCCGGGAAGGGCAGGCUCCCGGCCCCGCUUUGGGAAGGCGUAUCAAGACAGGCAACGGGGUCGCGCUCCGGAGCAGGAGGG